AUGGCGAAGGAGGUGGAGGAUACCGGCUUCAAGCUGUGGUACACGGGGACGGCUGCAAACAGAAAUGGCGUAGGCAUCUUGAUCAACAAGAGCCUCAAGUAUGGAGUGGUAGACGUCAGGAGACGUGGGGACCGGAUUAUCCUGGUCAAGCUGGUAGCUGAGGACUUGGUUCUCAAUGUUAUCAGCGCAUAUGCCCCGCAAGUAGGCCACAAUGAGAACACCAAGAGGGAGUUCUGGGAAGGCUUGGAAGACAUGGUUAGGAGUGUACCGAUUGGUGAGAAGCUCUUCAUAGGAGAAGACCUGAAUGGCCACAUGGGUACAUCUAACACAGGUUUUGAAGGGGCGCAUGGGGGCUUUGGCUAUGGCAUCAGGAAUCAAGAAGGAGAAGAUGUCUUAAGCUUUGCUCUAGCCUACAACAUGAUUGUAGCUAACACCCUCUUUAGAAAGAGAGAAUCACAUCUGGUGACUUUUAGUAGUGGCCAACACUCUAGCCAGAUUGAUUUCAUCCUCUCGAGAAGAGAAGAUAGGCGUGCGUGCCUAGACUGUAAGGUGAUACCUGGGGAGAGUAUUGUACCCCAGCAUAAGCUGGUGGUUGCUGACUUCCGCUUUCGGAUUCGUGUCCAGCGGGAUAAGCGUGCCAAGGUCGCUAGAACGAAGUGGUGGAAGCUCAAGGGGGAGGUAGCUCAGGUGUUCAAGGAGAGGGUAUUUAAGGAGGGCCCUUGGGAGGAAGGAGGGGAUGCGGACAAUGUGUGGAUGAAGAUGGCGACUUGCAUUCGUAAGGUGGCCUCGGAGGAGUUUGGAGUGUCCAGGGGAAGGAGAAGCGAAGAUAAGGAUACCUGGUGGUGGAAUGAUGAUGUCCAGAAGGCGCUUAAAGAGAAGAAAGAUUGCUUCAGACGCCUAUACCUGGAUAGGAGUGCAGACAACAUAGAGAAGUACAAGAUGGCGAAGAAGGCCGCAAAGCGAGCUGUUGGUGAAGCAAGGGGUCGGGCAUAUGAGGACCUCUACCAACGGUUAGGCACGAAGGAAGGGGAAAGGGACAUCUAUAAGAUGGCUAAGAUCCGGGAGAGGAAGACGAGGGAUAUUGGCCAAGUCAAAUGCAUCAAGGACGGAGCAGGCCAACUCUUGGUGAAGGACGAAGAGAUUAAGCAUAGAUGGCGGGAGUACUUCGACAAGCUGUUCAAUGGGGAGAAUGAGAGUUCUACCAUUGAACUGAAUGACUCCUUUGAUGAGACCAGCAUGCGUUUUGUGCGGCGCAUCCAGGAGUCUGAGGUGAAGGAGGCUUUAAAAAGGAUGAAAGGAGGCAAGGCGAUGGGCCCUGAUUGUAUCCCCAUUGAGGUGUGGAAAGGUCUCGGGGACAUAGCGAUAGUAUGGCUAACCAAGCUUUUCAACCUCAUUUUUCGGGCAAACAAGAUGCCAGAAGAAUGGAGACGGAGUAUAUUAGUACCAGUCUUCAAGAACAAGGGGGAUGUUCAGAGUUGUACUAAUUACCGUGGAAUUAAGCUGAUGAGCCAUACAAUGAAGCUAUGGGAGAGAGUCAUUGAGCACCGCUUAAGAAGAAUGACAAGCGUGACCAAAAAUCAGUUUGGUUUCAUGCCUGGGAGGUCGACCAUGGAAGCCAUUUUCUUGGUACGACAACUUAUGGAGAGAUAUAGGGAGCAUAAGAAGGACUUGCAUAUGGUGUUCAUUGACUUGGAGAAGGCCUAUGAUAAGAUACCGCGGAAUGUCAUGUGGUGGGCCUUGGAGAAACACAAAGUCCCAGCAAAGUACAUUACCCUCAUCAAGGACAUGUACAAUAAUGUUGUGACAAGUGUUCGAACAAGUGAUGUCGACACCGAUGACUUCCCGAUUAAGAUAGGACUGCAUCAGGGGUCAGCUUUGAGCCCUUAUCUUUUUGCAUUGGUGAUGGAUGAGGUCACAAGGGGUAUACAAGGAGAUAUCCCAUGGUGUAUGCUCUUUGCGGAUGAUGUGGUGCUAGUUGACGAUAGUCGGACGGGGGUAAAUAGGAAGUUAGAGUUAUGGAGACAAACCUUGGAAUCGAAAGGGUUUAGGCCUAGUAGAACUAAAACCGAGUACAUGAUGUGCGGUUUCAGUACUACUAGCUGUGAGGAGGAGGAGGUUAGCCUUGAUGGCCAGGUGGUACCUCGGAAGGACACCUUUCGGUAUUUGGGGUCAAUGUUGCAGGAGGAUGGGGGUAUUGAUGAAGAUGUGAACCAUCGAAUCAAAGCCGGAUGGAUGAAGUGGCGCCAAGCUUCUGGCAUUCUCUGUGACAAGAGAGUGCCACAAAAGCUAAAAGGCAAGUUCUACAGGACGGCGGUUCGACCCGCAAUGUUGUAUGGCGCGGAGUGUUGGCCGACUAAAAGGCGACAUGUUCAACAGUUAGGUGUGGCGGAGAUGCGUAUGUUGAGAUGGAUGUGUGGCCACACGAGGAAGGAUCGAGUCCGGAAUGAUGAUAUACGAGAUAGAGUUGGGGUAGCACCAAUUGAGGAGAAGCUUGUCCAACAUCGUUUGAGAUGGUUUGGGCAUAUUCAGCGCAGGCCUCCAGAAGCUCCAGUGCAUAGCGGACGGCUAAAGCGUGCGGAGAAUGUCAAGAGAGGGCAGGGUCGACCGAUUUUGACAUGGGAGGAGUCCGUUAAGAGAGACCUGAAGGAUUGGAGUAUCAACAAAGAGCUAGCUAUGGACAGGGGUGCGUGGAAGCUUGCUAUCCAUGUGCCAGAGCCAUGA
rnacentral:rRNA from 1 species